UACGGGGGGGGCAAGCGUUGUUCGGAAUUACUGGGCGUAAAGGGCUCGUAGGCGGCCAACUAAGUCAGACGUGAAAUCCCUCGGCUUAACCGGGGAACUGCGUCUGAUACUGGAUGGCUUGAGAUUGGGAGAGGGAUGCGGAAUUCCAGGUGUAGCGGUGAAAUGCGUAGAUAUCUGGAGGAACACCGGUGGCGAAGGCGGCAUCCUGGACCAACACUGACGCUGAGGAGCGAAGGCCAGGGGAGCAAACGGG
rnacentral:rRNA from 1 species